rnacentral:lncRNA from 1 species
AUAUGGAGGAGGUACAGAGGAGAUAUGGAGAUAUGGAGGAGGUAUGGAGGGGGUACAGAGGAGAUACGGAGGAGAUAUGGAGGAGGUACAGAGGAGAUACGGAGGAGGAGGAGGUAUGGAGGAGGCGGAGGUAUGGAGGAGAUAUGGAGGAGGAGAUAUGGAGGAGGAGGUACGGAGGAGAUAUGGAGGAGAUAUGGAGGAGGAGGUACAGAUGAGGAGGAGAUAUGGAGGAGGAGGUACGGAGGAGAUAUGGAGGAGAUAUGGAGGAGGAGGUACAGAUGAGGAGGAGAUAUGGAGGAGGAGGUACGGAGGAGAUAUGGAGGAGAUAUGGAGGAGGAGGUACAGAUGAGGAGGAGGUAUGGAGGAGGUACGGAGGAGGUAUAGAGAAGAUAUGGAGGAGGUACAGAGGAGAUAUGGAGAUAUGGAGGAGGUAUGGAGGGGGUACAGAGGAGAUACGGAGGAGAUAUGGAGGAGGUACAGAGGAGAUACGGAGGAGGAGGAGGUAUGGAGGAGGCGGAGGUAUGGAGGAGAUAUGGAGGAGGAGAUAUGGAGGAGGAGGUACGGAGGAGGUACAGAGAAGAUAUGGAGGAGGAGGUACAGAUGAGGAGGAGGUAUGGAGGAGGUAUGGAGGAGAUACAGAGAAGAUAUGGAGGAGGAGGUACAGAGGAGGAGGUAUGGAGGAGAUAUGGAGGAGGAGGUACGGAGGAGAUAUGGAGGAGGAGGUAUGGAGGAGGCACAGAGGAGGAG